CAAAUAUCCAAAUCAUGAUUUUUUUUUUUUGUAUUUUCUCUUAUUUAGCUUGUGCCUUUUGUUUAUAAAAUUCAAAUGAAAGAAAUUAAUGAAAAUAUGUAUAGUCAAAGACCAAACAGAGUUAUCCCUGCGAUCUACUUUUCGAGAGUGUUGAAAAGCCCUGAUAGGUGAUAAGUCUUAUUCCUUCACAAAUAAAAUCGUGACUUUGUAGCGUUUGAACAUGUGCGAACCCAGUUGCUACACUGCUAAGUG
rnacentral:misc_RNA from 1 species